rnacentral:siRNA from 1 species
AACUGAUGCAUUAGAGAUUGGUCC